rnacentral:rRNA from 1 species
CAGCCGCCGCGGUAAUACGUAGGGUGCAAGCGUUGUUCGGAAUUAUUGGGCGUAAAGGGUGCGUAGGCGGCUUGACAAGUCUUGUGUGAAAUCUUCGGGCUCAACCCGAAGCCUGCACGAGAAACUACCGGGCUUGAGUAUUGGAGAGGUGAGUGGAAUUUCCGGUGUAGCGGUGAAAUGCGUAGAUAUCGGAAGGAACACCUGUGGCGAAAGCGGCUCACUGGACAAUAACUGACGCUGAUGCACGAAAGCUAGGGGAGCAAACAGGAUUAGAGACCCCAGUAGUCCCUGUCUCUUAUAC